rnacentral:rRNA from 1 species
UACGGAGGGGGCAAGCGUUGUUCGGAAUUAUUGGGCGUAAAGGGCAUGUAGGUGGACUAGUAAGUUAAAAGUGAAAUACCAAAGCUUAACUUUGGAGCGGCUUUUAAUACUGCUAGACUAGAGGUCGAAAGAGGAUAGCGGAAUUCCUAGUGUAGAGGUGAAAUUCGUAGAUAUUAGGAGGAACACCAGUGGCGAAAGCGGCUAUCUGGUUCGAUGCUGACACUGAGGUGCGAAAGCGUGGGGAGCAAACAGGAUUA